rnacentral:rRNA from 1 species
GAUGAACGCUGGCGGCGCGCCUAACACAUGCAAGUCGAACGGCACCCCUCUCCGGAGGGAAGCGAGUGGCGAACGGCUGAGUAACACGUGGAGAACCUGCCCCCUCCCCCGGGAUAGCCGCCCGAGAGGACGGGUAAUACCGGAUACCCCGGGGUGCCGCAUGGCACCCCGGCUAAAGCCCCGACGGGAGGGGAUGGCUCCGCGGCCCAUCAGGUAGACGGCGGGGUGACGGCCCACCGUGCCGACAACGGGUAGCCGGGUUGAGAGACCGACCGGCCAGAUUGGGACUGAGACACGGCCCAGACUCCUACGGGAGGCAGCAGUGGGGAAUCUUGCGCAAUGGGGGGAACCCUGACGCAGCGACGCCGCGUGCGGGACGGAGGCCUUCGGGUCGUAAACCGCUUUCAGCAGGGAAGAGUCAAGACUGUACC